UACAGAGGGAGCGAGCGUUAAUCGGAAUUACUGGGCGUAAAGCGCACGUAGGUGGCGACGUAAGUCGGGUGUGAAAGCCCCGGGCUCAACCUGGGAAUUGCAUUCGAGACUGCAUUGCUGGAGUACGGAAGAGGAAGGCGGAAUUCCCGGUGUAGCGGUGAAAUGCGUAGAUAUCGGGAGGAACAUCAGUGGCGAAGGCGGCCUUCUGGUCCAGUACUGACACUCAAGUGCGAAAGCGUGGGGAGCAAACAGG
rnacentral:rRNA from 1 species